rnacentral:rRNA from 1 species
GACGAACGCUGGCGGCGUGCUUAACACAUGCAAGUCGAACGGAAAGGCCCUGCUUUUGUGGGGUGCUCGAGUGGCGAACGGGUGCGUAACACGUGAGUAACCUGCCCUUGACUUUGGGAUAACUUCAGGUAACUGGGGCUACUACCGGAUAGGAGCUCCUGCUGCAUGGUGGGGGUUGGAAAGUUUCGGCGGUUGGGGCUGGACUCGCGGCUUAUCAGCUUGUUGGUGGGGUAGUGGCUUACCAAGGCUUUGACGGGUAGCCGGCCUGAGAGGGUGACCGGCCACCUGGGGACUGAGGUACGGCCCAGACUCCUACGGUGGGCAGCAGUGGGGAAUAUUGCACAAUGGGCGGAAGCCUGAUGCAGCAACGCCGCGGGCGGGAUGACGGCCUUCGGGUUGUAAACCGCUUUCGCCUGUGACGAAGCGUGAGUGACGGUAAUGGGUAAAGAAGCACCGGCUAACUACGUG